CCGGCCGUCGAGGAGGGUGGACGGCCACAUUGGGACUGAGACACGGCCCAAACUCCUACGGAAGGCAGCAG
rnacentral:rRNA from 1 species